UUGAACGCUGGCGGCAGGCCUAACACAUGCAAGUCGAGCGGAUGAAGGGAGCUUACUCCUGGAUUCAGCGGCGGACGGGUGAGUAAUGCCUAGGAAUCUGCCUGGUAGUGGGGGAUAACGUCCGGAAACGGGCGCUAAUACCGCAUACGUCCUGAGGGAGAAAGUGGGGGAUCUUCGGACCUCACGCUAUCAGAUGAGCCUAGGUCGGAUUAGCUAGUUGGUGGGGUAAAGGCCUACCAAGGCGACGAUCCGUAACUGGUCUGAGAGGAUGAUCAGUCACACUGGAACUGAGACACGGUCCAGACUCCUACGGGAGGCAGCAGUGGGGAAUAUUGGACAAUGGGCGAAAGCCUGAUCCAGCCAUGCCGCGUGUGUGAAGAAGGUCUUCGGAUUGUAAAGCACUUUAAGUUGGGAGGAAGGGCAGUAAGUUAAUACCUUGCUGUUUUGACGUUACCAACAGAAUAAGCACCGGCUAACUUCGUG
rnacentral:rRNA from 1 species